UCGCCGGAGAACUCUGUCGUUGAUCCACCAGAGCUUCUGGCCGCCGCCAGAGCUGUUGCCGGGGCCGGUUCAAAAUCGCAGCUGCUUCGUGUUGAAAUUCCGAGCUGUUUAUGCUGCUGCGAAAAUGUGUGGGGCUGUGCUUUGAAGCUGCCUUUGAUUUUGAGUUGAGGUGAAAAGAACUUAUGAGGCGCUUGGAUUAUGGAAUUGCGUUUUGAGGAUAUGGGCGCAGAAGUUACGAAGAGCUUAUUUAAUUGUUGUUGUGAUGCUCUGUAUUGUUUUAG